rnacentral:rRNA from 1 species
AGUGAACGCUGGCGGUAGGCCUAACACAUGCAAGUCGAACGGCAGCACAGUAAGAGCUUGCUCUUACGGGUGGCGAGUGGCGGACGGGUGAGGAAUACAUCGGAAUCUACUUUUUCGUGGGGGAUAACGUAGGGAAACUUACGCUAAUACCGCAUACGACCUACGGGUGAAAGCAGGGGAUCUUCGGACCUUGCGCGAUUGAAUGAGCCGAUGUCGGAUUAGCUAGUUGGCGGGGUAAAGGCCCACCAAGGCGACGAUCCGUAGCUGGUCUGAGAGGAUGAUCAGCCACACUGUAACUGAGACACGGUCCAGACUCCUACGGGAGGCAGCAGUGGAGAAUAUUGGACAAGGGGCGCAAGCCUGAUCCAGCCAUACCGCGUGGGUGAAGAAGGCCCUCGGGUUGUAAAGCCCUUUUGUUGGGAAAGAAAAGCAGCAGGUUAAUACCCCGCGGUUCUGACGGUACCCAAAGAAUAAGCACCGGCUAACUUCGUG